GUGGGGAAUAUUGGGCAAUGGAGGCAACUCUGACCCAGCCAUGCCGCGUGCAGGAUGACGGCCCUCUGGGUUGUAAACUGCUUUUAUACGGGAAGAAAAAAUACUACGUGUAGUAUACUGACGGUACCGUAAGAAUAAGGAUCGGCUAACUCCGUGCCAGCAGCCGCGGUAAUACGGAGGAUCCAAGCGUUGUCCGGAUUUAUUGGGUUUAAAGGGUGCGUAGGCGGAUCUUUAAGUCAGUGGUGAAAGCCUGCAGCUUAACUGUAGAAUUGCCAUUGAAACUGAAGAUCUUGAAUGUGGUUAAAGUAGGCGGAAUGUAUCAUGUAGCGGUGAAAUGCUUAGAUAUGAUACAGAACACCGAUAGCGAAGGCAGCUUGCUGAACCAUUAUUGACGCUGAGGCACGAAAGCGUGGGGAGCGAACAGGAUUAGAAACCCGAGUAGUCC
rnacentral:rRNA from 1 species